AGGUUGGAUGGUAUUGUCAAAAAUAAAAACUGACAUUCUACUCUAUCACGGGUUUAUACCAAUCUGCAGCAAUUCAAACUAUGCACCAGCAACGCCAACACAGCGCAGACAUGCCAGAUAGAGAGGACUAUAGUAAAACGCCACUCCGGCUACACUCCAUAUGCCUCCGAUUUCUGACAGAUUCCACAUGAAUGUGGUGGAAAGCAUAACAGACCAUGCUUGAUUGAAGUAGAUUAUAAAACAGAGUGCCUGCAGCCACCACUAGAGGGAGCUUAGUACAUAGGCAUUUAUACAGGUACCACUGAACCCAAUAUAUGGCUACUUUCACACUG